rnacentral:rRNA from 1 species
AGGUGGUUAACAUUCCAGGCUUGUGCUUUUAGAGGGCAUGAUGAAUCCCCGGGAUCCAUUAACCGGGGUAAUUUCCUAGAACUGGUAAAACUUUUGGCUUCUUAUAACAAGGAGGUGAAAGAUGUUGUCUUGGAAAAUGCUCCUGGAAACGCAAAGUACACAUCUCAUCAGGUUCAAGAGGAAAUUCUUGGUAUACUUUCUCGAAAGGUGCAAAGAACAAUUAGAGAAGAAAUUGGUGAUAGCAAAUUUUGUAUAAUGGUUGACGAAGCUUGCGAUGAAUCCAAGAAAGAGCAAAUGGCAUUGGUCCUUCGGUUUCCCGACACUGAAGGGUUCAUACAGGAGCAUUUUGUUGAUGUCAUUCAUGUGAAUGACACUCCUGCAUUGACUCUCAAGGAGACAAUUUGCACUGUUCUAGCAGAUAACAAUUUAAAUGUGGAAGAUAUCAGAGGUCAGGCCUAUGACGGGGCCAGUAAUAUGCGAGGGGAGUGGAACAGAUUGAAAGCUUUAAUUCUGAAGGCGUGCCCUUAUGCAUAUUACAUUCAUUGUAUGGCGCAUCAGCUUCAAUUGGCCCUUGUUGCAGCAUCACGAGAGGUACAUGAAGUGCAUAAUUUUUUUCAACAUGCCAAUUUUGUCAUAAAUGUUGUUAGUGCUUCACCUAAACGCAAUGAUGAGUUACUAGCAAAUCAAGCCGCCGAGAUUGCACGUGAAAUUGAACUAGGGGAUCUUGAUACGGGAAAAGGGGCAAACCAGAUAGGAUCUUUAUAG